rnacentral:lncRNA from 1 species
GCCCCGUGACGCUGUGUAAUCCUGGGGCGUGUCUGUGCCCGCAGACGGUGCAGUAUCUGAAGCGGUGCCAUUUGGAGGUGGGGAUGAAGAACAAUGUGAAGUACGAGCUCACCAAAGAGAUCGUGUGUCGCCAGCUGCUGAGGAGGCUUGGGGUGUUUGUGCCUCCUCACGCCCUGAGGUUGCCCGAUGAGCCUAUCACCCGGUGGGGGGAGUACUGGUGUGAGGUCACGGUGAACGGCCUCGAAACCGUCCGCAUCCCCAUGUCCGUGGUCAACUUCAUGAAGCCCAAGACGCGCGCAUACAAGAACUGGCUGAAGAAGGAGCAAGCAGAAUCCCAGGAUUCCAAUCCGGAUGAGACUGGGAAAGAGGACUCUUGA